AAGAGACAGCAGUCGCCACGGGAAUACGAAGGGGGCUAGCGUUGUUCGGAAUUACUGGGCGUAAAGCGCACGUAGGCGGAUAUUUAAGUCAGGGGUGAAAUCCCGCAGCUCAACUGCGGAACUGCCUUUGAUACUGGGUAUCUUGAGUAUGGAAGAGGUUAGUGGAAUUGCGAGUGUAGAGGUGAAAUUCGUAGAUAUUCGCAGGAACACCAGUGGCGAAGGCGGCUAACUGGUCCAUAACUGACGCUGAGGUGCGAAAGCGUGGGGAGCAAACAGGAUUAGAUACCCGUGUAGUCCCUGUCUCUUAUAC
rnacentral:rRNA from 1 species